GCGGAUGUGGCGGAAUUGGCAGACGCGCCAGACUUAGGAUCUGGUGGGCUUCCCGUGCAGGUUCAAGUCCUGUCAUCCGCA
rnacentral:tRNA from 1 species